GACAGAGGUGCCGAGCGUUAGGCGGAAUCACUGGGCUUAAAGCGUGUGUAGGCGGGUCGUUAAGUGUCUUGUGAAAUCCCACCGCUCACCGGUGGAACGGCUGGGCAUACUGGCGACCUUGAGAGGCCUAGGGGCAGACGGAACAAGCGGUGGAGCGGUGAAAUGCGUAGAUAUCGCUUGGAACGCCGACGGCGAAAGCAGUCUGCUGGGGGCCUUCAGACGCUGAGACACGAAAGCCAGGGGAGCGAACGGG
rnacentral:rRNA from 1 species